rnacentral:rRNA from 1 species
GAGUUUGAUCAUGGCUCAGGACGAACGCUGGCGGCGUGCCUAAUACAUGCAAGUCGAGCGGGGACACGCUUUUGAAGCCUCCGGGCGGAUAGAGCGUGGUCCUAGCGGCGGACGGGUGAGUAACGCGUGGGCAACCUACCCUUUAGCCCGGGAUAACUUCCGGAAACGGGAGCUAAUCCCGGAUGCGGAGUGAUGGACGCAUGUUCAUUGCCCGAAAGCUGCGGCGCUAAAGGAUGGGCCCGCGUCCCAUUAGCUUGUUGGUGAGGUAACGGCUCACCAAGGCGACGAUGGGUAGCCGGCCUGAGAGGGUGGACGGCCACACUGGGACUGAGACACGGCCCAGACUCCUACGGGAGGCAGCAGUAGGGAAUCUUGCGCAAUGGGCGGAAGCCUGACGCAGCGACGCCGCGUGAGGGACGAAGGCCUUCGGGUCGUAAACCUCUGUCCUUGGGGACGAUGAUGACGGUACCCAAGGAGGAAGCCCCGGCUAACUACGUGCCAGCAGCCGCGGUA